CUUGACUUCUCUAACUUCAAGCAACCCUCGCGUCCCCUAUCUCUCCGUCCCUCCGCCACCCAAGUCGUUCCAGCUUCAAAGUCGGCUUGUUUGAGUCUCAUUCUUGAUAUUCAUUGUCA